rnacentral:rRNA from 1 species
UGCCUACGGGAGGCUGCAGUGGGGAAUAUUGGACAAUGGGCGAAAGCCUGAUCCAGCAAUGCCGCGUGAGUGAUGAAGGCCUUAGGGUUGUAAAGCUCUUUUACCCGGGAUGAUAAUGACAGUACCGGGAGAAUAAGCUCCGGCUAACUCCGUGCCAGCAGCCGCGGUCAUACGGAGGGAGCUAGCGUUGUUCGGAAUUACUGGGCGUAAAGCGCACGUAGGCGGCUUUGUAAGUUAGAGGUGAAAGCCUGGAGCUUAACUCCAGAAUUGCCUUUAAGACUGCAUCGCUUGAAUCCGGGAGAGGUGAGUGGAAUUCCGAGUGUAGAGGUGAAAUUCGUAGAUAUUCGGAAGAACACCAGUGGCGAAGGCGGCUCACUGGACCGGUAUUGACGCUGAGGUGCGAAAGCGUGGGGAGCAAACAGGAUUAGAUACCCUAGUAGUC